rnacentral:rRNA from 1 species
AUUGAACGCUGGCGGCAGGCCUAACACAUGCAAGUCGAACGAGUGGCGGACGGGUGAGUAAUGUCUGGGAAACUGCCUGAUGGAGGGGGAUAACUACUGGAAACGGUAGCUAAUACCGCAUACCAUCAGAUGUGCCCAGAUGGGAUUAGCUAGUAGGUGGGGUAACGGCUCACCAAGGCGACGAUCCCUAGCUGGUCUGAGAGGAUGACCAGCCACACUGGAACUGAGACACGGGCCAGACUCCGACGGGAGGCAGCAGUGGGGAAUAUUGCACAAUGGGCGCAAGCCUGAUACAGCAAUGCCGCGUGUAUGAAGAAGGCCUUCGGGUUGUAAAGUACUUUCAGCGGGGAGGCGUGACCCGCAGAAGAAGCACCGGCUAACUCCGUGCCAGCAGCCGCGGUAAUUC